GACCGGGAGCCGACGACGCAGCAGCAGGUCGGAGCACCGACGUCCGGCGACCACUUGAGGAGAAGAACAGAACUCCCUUCGGCGUCGGACCCUUCCCCGCUUCCUGGCGCUGGCAGCCGCAGAACACAGCAGAUGAGAUGUUCAAUACAAUUGUCAAGUUGAGAGUGAGAGAUGGAGGAGAGAGUUGAGAGAUGGAAAGAGAGAGAGAGCCGUGAGAGUCAGACUGAGAGCAGAGAGAUGAGAGUUCUGAGAGAGAGAGAAUCAGAAAGCGUGAGAGACAGAGAGAGCCGUUGAGAGAGAGCGUGGGAGAGCUUAAGUGGGCCUAAUUUUUUUUUUUUUAUGAAUUGAUUGCUGCUGCUGUCGGCUAUACCAUUAGAAAGUAGGUAAGUAAAUUUUUUUUUUAUUGUAGGGUAUAUAAUAUAAGUGGACCUAAAUUUUGGGGCCCCCAAAAAUUGGGG
rnacentral:lncRNA from 1 species